UUUAAAGAAAGCGUAACAGCUCACUGGUCUAAUCAAGCUGUCCUGCGCCGAAGAUGUACCGGGGCUAAAGCCGUGUACCGAAGCUGCGGACGUGUCCUAGACACGUGGUAGCGGAGCGUUCCGUAGGCCGAUGAAGGUGGACCCGCGAGGGCCGCUGGAGGUAUCGGAAGUGAGAAUGCUGACAUGAGUAGCGAUAAAGAGUGUGAAAGGCACUCUCGCCGAAAGCCCAAGGUUUCCUGUGCAACGCUAAUCGGCGCAGGGUGAGUCGGCCCCUAAGGUGAGGCAGAAAUGCGUAGCCGAUGGGAAACAGAUUAAUA
rnacentral:rRNA from 9 species